UUGAUGUUCUAACGUGGAUCCGUAAUCCGGGUUGCGGACAGUGUCUGGUGGGUAGUUUGACUGGGGCGGUCUCCUCCUAAAGAGUAACGGAGGAGCACGAAGGUUGGCUAAUCCUGGUCGGACAUCAGGAGGUUAGUGCAAUGGCAUAAGCCAGCUUGACUGCGAGCGUGACGGCGCGAGCAGGUGCGAAAGCAGGUCAUAGUGAUCCGGUGGUUCUGAAUGGAAGGGCCAUCGCUCAACGGAUAAAAGGUACUCCGGGGAUAACAGGCUGAUACCGCCCAAGAGUUCAUAUCGACGGCGGUGUUUGGCACCUCGAUGUCGGCUCAUCACAUCCUGGGGCUGAAGUAGGUCCCAAGGGUAUGGCUGUUCGCCAUUUAAAGUGGUACGCGAGCUGGGUUUAGAACGUCGUGAGACAGUUCGGUCCCUAUCUGCCGUGGGCGCUGGAGAACUGAGGGGGGCUGCUCCUAGUACGAGAGGACCGGAGUGGACGCAUCACUGGUGUUCGGGUUGUCAUGCCAAUGGCACUGCCCGGUAGCUAAAUGCGGAAGAGAUAAGUGCUGAAAGCAUCUAAGCACGAAACUUGCCCCGAGAUGAGUUCUCCCUGAGACUUAGAGUCUCCUGAAGGAACGUUGAAGACGACGACGUUGAUAGGCCGGGUGUGUAAGCGCAGCGAUGCGUUGAGCUAACCGGUACUAAUGAACCGUGAGGCUUAACCUUACAACGCCGAAG
rnacentral:rRNA from 2 species